UUAAUAUUCAAUGAUUUAAUG
rnacentral:piRNA from 1 species